rnacentral:rRNA from 1 species
AAAAAAGGUAAGCUACUAAGAGCGAAUGGUGGAUGCCUUGACUGGUAAAGGCGAUGAAGGACGUACUAGACUGCGAUAAGCUACGGGGAGCUGUCAAGAAGCUUUGAUCCGUAGAUUUCCGAAUGGGGCAACCCAAUGUAUAGAGAUAUACAUUACCUAUAUAGGAGCGAACGAGGGGAAUUGAAACAUCUUAGUACCCUCAGGAAAAGAAAUCAAUAGAGAUUGCGUCAGUAGCGGCGAGCGAAAGCGCAAGAGGGCAAACCCAGUGCUUGCACUGGGGGUUGUAGGACUGCAAUGUGCAAGAGGUGAGUUUAGCAGAACAUUCUGGAAAGUAUAGCCAUAGAGGGUGAUAGUCCCGUAUGCGAAAAACAAACCUUAGCUAGCAGUAUCCUGAGUAGGGCGGGACACGAGAAAUCCUGUCUGAAGCUGGGUCGACCACGAUCCAACCCUAAAUACUAAUACCAGAUCGAUAGUGCACAAGUACCGUGAGGGAAAGGUGAAAAGAACUGAGGUGAUCAGAGUGAAAUAGAACCUGAAACCAUUUGCUUACAAUCAUUCAGAGCCCUAUGUAGCAAUACAGGGUGAUGGACUGCCUUUUGCAUAAUGAGCCUGCGAGUUGUGGUGUCUGGCAAGGUUAAGCAAACGCGAAGCCGUAGCGAAAGCGAGUCUGAAUAGGGCGCUUAGUCAGAUGCUGCAGACCCGAAACGAAGUGAUCUAUCCAUGAGCAAGUUGAAGCUAGUGUAAGAACUAGUGGAGGACUGAACCCAUAGGCGUUGAAAAGCCCCGGGAUGACUUGUGGAUAGGGGUGAAAGGCCAAUCAAACUUCGUGAUAGCUGGUUCUCUCCGAAAUAUAUUUAGGUAUAGCGUUGUGUCGUAAUAUAAGGGGGUAGAGCACUGAAUGGGCUAGGGCAUACACCAAUGUACCAAACCCUAUCAAACUCCGAAUACCUUAUAUGUAAUCACAGCAGUCAGGCGGCGAGUGAUAAAAUCCGUCGUCAAGAGGGAAACAACCCAGACUACCAGCUAAGGUCCCUAAAUCUUACUUAAGUGGAAAACGAUGUGAAGUUACUUAAACAACCAGGAGGUUGGCUUAGAAGCAGCCAUCCUUUAAAGAAAGCGUAAUAGCUCACUGGUCUAGUGAUUUUGCGCGGAAAAUAUAACGGGGCUAAAGUAAGUACCGAAGCUGUAGACUUGCGCACAACUUAGAUUAUUUAAGUUUAGAAUAUGAGAAACUAAGUUAUAUGUUUAGUUAUAUUUUUACUGAUUUUUAUAGAGUAAAGAUAGAAAUAAAACUUAGUAAAAUCAGUAAAAAUAUUCUUAGACUAAAGUUAAGUAGUUUAAGUUGUGUGCAAGUGGUAGGAGAGCGUUCUAUUUGCGUCGAAGGUAUACCGGUAAGGAGUGCUGGAGCGAAUAGAAGUGAGCAUGCAGGCAUGAGUAGCGAUAAUUAAUGUGAGAAUCAUUAACGCCGUAAACCCAAGGUUUCCUACGCGAUGCUCGUCAUCGUAGGGUUAGUCGGGUCCUAAGUCGAGUCCGAAAGGGGUAGACGAUGGCAAAUUGGUUAAUAUUCCAAUACCAACAUUAGUGUGCGAUGGAAGGACGCUUAGGGCUAAGGGGGCUAGCGGAUGGAAGUGCUAGUCUAAGGUCGUAGGAGGUUAUACAGGCAAAUCCGUAUAACAAUACUCCGAGAACUGAAAGGCUUUUUGAAGUCUUCGGAUGGAUAGAAGAACCCCUGAUGCCAUCGAGCCAAGAAAAGUUUCUAAGUUUAGCUAAUGUUGCCCGUACCGUAAACCGACACAGGUGGGUGGGAUGAGUAUUCUAAGGCGCGUGGAAGAACUCUCUUUAAGGAACUCUGCAAAAUAGCACCGUAUCUUCGGUAUAAGGUGUGGUUCGCUUCGUAUUAGGAUUUACUCCGAAAGCGAAGAAACUUACAACAAAGAGUCCCUCCCGACUGUUUACCAAAAACACAGCACUCUGCUAACUCGUAAGAGGAUGUAUAGGGUGUGACGCCUGCCCGGUGCUCGAAGGUUAAUUGAUGGGGUUAGCAUUAGCGAAGCUCUUGAUCGAAGCCCGAGUAAACGGCGGCCGUAACUAUAACGGUCCUAAGGUAGCGAAAUUCCUUGUCGGUUAAAUACCGACCUGCAUGAAUGGCGUAACGAGAUGGGAGCUGUCUCAAAGAGGGAUCCAGUGAAAUUGUAGUGGAGGUGAAAAUUCCUCCUACCCGCGGCAAGACGGAAAGACCCCGUGGACCUUUACUACAGCUUGACACUGCUAUUUGGAUAAGAAUGUGCAGGAUAGGUGGGAGGCUUUGAGUAUAUGACGCCAGUUGUAUAUGAGCCAUUGUUGAGAUACCACUCUUUCUUAUUUGGGUAGCUAACCAGCUUGAGUUAUCCUCAAGUGGGACAAUGUCUGGUG